AUAUCCUUUUUACAGUUCAACUCACAGUCUAUCAAUUGAUUUCAAGAAAAAGAUUAGUUCGGCACUUCGGACCGAGAGGCCUGGGCUCAAGUCCCGGCCGGAUGACUUUUUAACCCUCCCCUCCAUGCCCUAUUCAUUAUUUUGUCUUAAUGCAAAAGAGCUCUCACAGCCCGCCUCGUCUCUCGAGGACAUUUGGAAGGCCACUCCAUCUGCUUUUCUUCUCAUCUCAGCACCUAAGACCCCGGGUGUCUAGGACCCGUGGAUAGAAUUUAUUUCCACACUAGCAUAGUCCAAAUGCAUGACAAACUUUCAGAGCUACAGAACAUUAUGCUCUUGAAUUAGUUAAACUGUAUAUGUAAGUGAUUGUCUCCUUGCCAUACUUUACCUCCUCUAAAUAUCGCCAUUGCCUUGAUUGCGUCACAGAAAGCGACCGCCUAUCAAGUCAAUUAUCAACCAACGUUCUCCGGUGCUGGUGUCCCUGUUACCGACCUCACAGGAAGCAAGUCCGUGGUUUCUUGAUCGCACCAAAGCUCUUCCCUUGUCGGAAAAUGAGAUUCCACACGAAGAAGAAAAGCU